AGAGUUUGAUUCUGGCUCAGAACGAACGCUGGCGGCGUGGAUAAGACAUGCAAGUCGAACGAGAGAAUUGCUAGCUUGCUAAUAAUUCUCUAGUGGCGCACGGGUGAGUAACACGUGAGUAACCUGCCCCCGAGAGCGGGAUAGCCCUGGGAAACUGGGAUUAAUACCGCAUAGUAUCGAAAGAUUAAAGCAGCAAUGCGCUUGGGGAUGGGCUCGCGGCCUAUUAGUUAGUUGGUGAGGUAACGGCUCACCAAGGCGAUGACGGGUAGCCGGUCUGAGAGGAUGUCCGGCCACACUGGAACUGAGACACGGUCCAGACACCUACGGGUGGCAGCAGUCGAGAAUCAUUCACAAUGGGGGAAACCCUGAUGGUGUGACGCCGCGUGGGGGAAUGAAGGUCUUCGGAUUGUAAACCCCUGUCAUGUGGGAGCAAAUUAAAAAGAUAGUACCACAAGAGGAAGAGACGGCUAACUCUGUGCCAGCAGCCGCGGUAAUACAGAGGUCUCAAGCGUUGUUCGGAAUCACUGGGCGUAAAGCGUGCGUAGGCUGUUUCGUAAGUCGUGUGUGAAAGGCGCGGGCUCAACCCGCGGACGGCACAUGAUACUGCGAGACUAGAGUAAUGGAGGGGGAACCGGAAUUCUCGGUGUAGCAGUGAAAUGCGUAGAUAUCGAGAGGAACACUCGUGGCGAAGGCGGGUUCCUGGACAUUAACUGACGCUGAGGCACGAAGGCCAGGGGAGCGAAAGGGAUUAGAUACCCCUGUAGUCCUGGCAGUAAACGGUGCACGCUUGGUGUGCGGGGAAUCGACCCCCUGCGUGCCGGAGCUAACGCGUUAAGCGUGCCGCCUGGGGAGUACGGUCGCAAGAUUAAAACUCAAAGGAAUUGACGGGGACCCGCACAAGCGGUGGAGCAUGUGGUUUAAUU
rnacentral:rRNA from 1 species